rnacentral:rRNA from 1 species
AAAUGAAUUGACGGGGGCCCGCACAAGCGGUGGAUCAUGUGGUUCAAUUCGAAGCAACGCGAAAAACCUUACCUGGGUUUGACAUCCUCUGACCGCUGUAGAAAUACAGUUUUUGUAGCAAUACAACAGAGUGACAGGUGCUGCAUGGCUGUCGUCAGCUCGUGUGGUGACAUGUUGGGUUAAGUCCCGCAACGAGCGCAACCCUUGUCAUUAGUUGCCACCAUUAAGUUGGGCACUCUAAUGAGACUGCCGUGGUUAACACGGAGGAAGGUGGGGAUGACGUCAAGUCCUCAUGGCCCUUAUAUCCAGGGCGACACACGUGAUACAAUGGACGGUACAAAGGGACGCCAAGAGGUGACUCGGAGCAAAUCCCAAAAAACCGUUCUCAGUUCGGAUUGGAGUCUGCAAUUCGACUCCAUGAAGGUGGAAUCGCUAGUAAUCGCGGAUCAGAACGCCGCGGUGAAUACGUUCCCGGGCCUUGUACACACCGCCCGU